GCCUAGUUGAGAGGAGAUUCUCUGUGCCCGGCUCCCGUUUGUUUGCGUUAAACUUUCUAAUGAAAUCAAAAAUUACUUUUUGACCAAUUUAGAAUUCGUUCUACUUAGGGUCAAGAGGGAUUCAAGACACUCACAGAACUUCCCUGCAAAAGACAACUUCAGAAUUAUGGAGCCCAAUUGUACUGCGGGAGGGGCUGAGGAAGAGCACCAUGGAAACUACUCACCAAAUCCAUCUGCCGAGGUGGCGCCUGGCAAGCACGCGGUGGCAGAGGCCUUG